rnacentral:rRNA from 1 species
UGGGGGAUAUUGCACAAUGGGCGAAAGCCUGAUGCAGCGACGCCGCGUGGGGGAUGAAGGCUUUCGGGUUGUAAACCUCUUUCGCUAUCGAACAAGGCCCGCUUAGGGUGGGUUGAGGGUAGGUGGAGAAGAAGCGCCGGCUAACUACGUGCCAGCAGCCGCGGUAAUACGUAGGGCGCGAGCGUUGUCCGGAAUUAUUUGGCGUAAAGGGCUUGUAGGCGGCUUGUUGCGCCUGCUGUGAAAACGCGGGGCUUAACUUCGCGCGUGCAGUGGGUACGGGCAGGCUUGAGUGUGGUAGGGGUGACUGGACUUCCAGGUGUAGCGGUGGAAUGCGCAGAUAUCUGGAGGAACACCGAUGGCGAAGGCAGGUCACUGGGCCAUUACUGACGCUGAGGAGCGAAAGCAUGGGUAGCGAACAGG